UACGGAGGGUGCAAGCGUUAUCCGGAUUCACUGGGUUUAAAGGGUGCGUAGGCGGGUAGGUAAGUCCGUGGUGAAAUCUCUGAGCUUAACUCAGAAACUGCCAUGGAUACUAUUUGUCUUGAAUGUUGUGGAGGUAAGCGGAAUAUGUCAUGUAGCGGUGAAAUGCUUAGAUAUGACAUAGAACACCCAUUGCGAAGGCAGCUUACUACACAACGAUUGACGCUGAGGCACGAAAGCGUGGGGAGCAAACAGG
rnacentral:rRNA from 1 species